rnacentral:rRNA from 1 species
GGUAUCCUGACCGUGCUAAGGUAGCAUAAUCAUUUGCCUUUUAAUUGGAGGCUAGUAUGAAUGGGAAGACGUAGAUUCAGCUGUUUCUAUAUUAUAAAUAAAACUUAAACUUUAGGUGAAGAUGCCUAAAUUUUAUAGAAAGACAAGAAGACCCUAUAGAGUUUUAGUUAAACCUACUAAUCUAUUGUAAUAUAACUUUGGUUGGGGCGACCUAGGAUUUUCAUAAACAUCCUACUAACUUACGAUAUUUUAUUCUUAUAAAUUGACCCUAUAACGGAUUAUCAGAAAUAACUACCUUAGGGAUAACAGGCUUAUCUUCCUAGAGAGCUCUUAUUGAUAGGAUGGUUUGGCACCUCG